UCAGCCGCCGCGGUAAAACCAGCACCUCGAGUGGUCAGGAGGUUUAUUGGGCCUAAAGCAUCCGUAGCCGGUUGCAUAAGUUUUCGGUUAAAUCUAUGCGCUUAACGUAUAGGCCGCCGAAAAUACUGUGCAGCUAGGGAGUGGGAGAGGUACACGGUACUCGAUAGGAAGGGGUAAAAUCCUUUGAUCUAUUGAUGACCACCUGUGGCGAAGGCGGUGUACCAGAACACGUUCGACGGUGAGGGAUGAAAGCUGGGGGAGCAAACCGGAUUAGAUACCCGGGUAGUCCAGCUGUAAACGAUGCAGACUCGGUGAUGCAUUGGCUUGUGGCCAAUGCAGUGCCGCAGGGAAGCCGUUAAGUCUGCCGCCUGGGAAGUACGUACGCAAGUAUGAAACUUAGAGGAAUUGGCGGGGGAGCACA
rnacentral:rRNA from 1 species